rnacentral:rRNA from 1 species
CCUACGGGUGGCUGCAGUAGGGAAUCUUCCGCAAUGGACGAAAGUCUGACGGAGCAACGCCGCGUGAGUGAUGAAGGUUUUCGGAUCGUAAAACUCUGUUGUUAGGGAAGAACAAGUACCGUUCGAAUAGGGCGGCACCUUGACGGUACCUAACCAGAAAGCCACGGCUAACUACGUGCCAGCAGCCGCGGUAAUACGUAGGUGGCAAGCGUUGUCCGGAAUUAUUGGGCGUAAAGCGCGCGCAGGCGGUUUCUUAAGUCUGAUGUGAAAGGCUACGGCUCAACCGUAGUAAGCCCUUGGAACUGAUUGGCUUGAGUGCAGGAGAGGAGAGUGGAAUUCCUAGUGUAGCGGUGAAAUGCGUAGAUAUUAGGAGGAACACCAGUGGCGAAGGCGACUCUCUGGACUGUAACUGACGCUGAGGCACGAAAGCGUGGGGAGCAAACAGGAUUAGAUACCCCAGUAGUC